GCGGUUCGUACAAGUCCAACUGCAGCCUCUCGACGACGUAAGGGAAAUCCCCAGCAUGGAAACAAACAACGUCUUUGGUUACAUGAGGCGGCUCCGACCUGAAAAUAAAGCAGAGAGGUGCAGACAGCCUUCAGCACUCCCACGGCCGCCGUGGUCUGACGCUCGAAGCCCUGGCCGAUGUGAUCGGCGUGGGCGCGGGUCCGGUCCUCGAACAGAAUCUCCCUGGGCUCGCUGGUCCGGGGCAUCGACUGGAGCAGAUUCUUUACCUCGUUAGUGGAGCUAAGAAAGAAAGAAAAAAAAAAAAACCCAAACAAACACAGUUUUGAGUCUGCUUCCCCGAAGUGAAAUUUUAAGGUAAGAGUGACUAAAAGAGAGUGGGAUGAUCUUUGCUGUCUGCUAUUUUAAAACAACAAAAACUAAAAAUUUUCAGGCGAUAGAGGAAACACAGAUAGAGUGUAGGUAUGUGUGUCAGUGUGUUUGAUUUCAAACGGUGUGAAAUAAGAUAAUAAAUAACAAUGCAUUAUUGA